rnacentral:rRNA from 1 species
AUUGAACGCUGGCGGCAGGCCUAACACAUGCAAGUCGAACGGUAACAGGAAACAGCUUGCUGUUUCGCUGACGAGUGGCGGACGGGUGAGUAAUGUCUGGGAAACUGCCUGAUGGAGGGGGAUAACUACUGGAAACGGUAGCUAAUACCGCAUAACGUCGCAAGACCAAAGAGGGGGACCUUCGGGCCUCUUGCCAUCGGAUGUGCCCAGAUGGGAUUAGCUUGUUGGUGGGGUAACGGCUCACCAAGGCGACGAUCCCUAGCUGGUCUGAGAGGAUGACCAGCCACACUGGAACUGCGACACGGUCCAGACUCCUACGGGAGGCAGCAGUGGGGAAUAUUGCACAAUGGGCGCAAGCCUGAUGCAGCCAUGCCGCGUGUAUGAGGAAGGCCUUCGGGUUGUAAAGUACUUUCAGCGGGGAGGAAGGGAGUAAAGUUAAUACCUUUACUCAUUGACGUUACCCGCAGAAGAAGCACCGGCUAACUCCGUGCCAGCAGCCGCAGUAA